rnacentral:rRNA from 1 species
UGCAGUCGAGUGCGCGUGCCGUAGCAAUACGGCAUGGCGCACGGCGCACGGGUGCGUAACACGUGGGCAAUCUGCCCUUCGAUGGGGAAUAACUCCGAGAAACCGAAGCUAAUUCCGCAUAACAUUCCUUGGACUUCGGUUCGAGGACUCAAAGCCGUAAGGCGUCGAAGGAGGAGCCCGCGCCCGAUUAGCUAGUUGGCAGGGUAACGGCCUACCAAGGCUUUGAUCGGUAGCUGGUCUGAGAGGAUGGCCAGCCACACUGGAACUGAGACACGGUCCAGACUCCUACGGGAGGCAGCAGUGGGGAAUCUUGCGCAAUGGGCGAAAGCCUGACGCAGCGACGCCGCGUGGGGGAUGAAGCAUCUCGGUGUGUAAACCCCUUUCGACUGGGACGAAUGCCUCGCAAGAGGAGUGACGGUACCAGUAGAAGAAGCCCCGGCUAACUACGUGCCAGCAGCCGCGGUAAGACGUAGGGGGCCAGCGUUGUUCGGAAUUACUGGGUGUAAAGGGUUCGUAGGCGGUGCGGCAAGUCGGGAGUGAAAUUUCUGGGCUUAACCCAGAAGCUGCUUCCGAAACUGCCGUGCUGGAGUGUGGGAGAGGCGCGUGGAAUUGCAGGUGUAGCGGUGAAAUGCGUAAUAUCUGCAGAACACCCGUGGCGAAAGCGGCGCGCUGACCACAACUGAUGCUGAGAAAAGCUAGGGAGCAAAC